rnacentral:rRNA from 1 species
AGUGAACGCUGGCGGUAGGCCUAACACAUGCAAGUCGAACGGCAGCACAAUAAGAGCUUGCUCUUACGGGUGGCGAGUGGCGGACGGGUGAGGAAUACAUCGGAAUCUACUUUUUCGUGGGGGAUAACGUAGGGAAACUUACGCUAAUACCGCAUACGACCUACGGGUGAAAGCAGGGGAUCUUCGGACCUUGCGCGAUUGAAUGAGCCAAUGUCGGAUUAGCUAGUUGGCGGGGUAAAGGCCCACCAAGGCGACGAUCCGUAGCUGGUCUGAGAGGAUGAUCAGCCACACUGGAACUGAGACACGGUCCAGACUCCUACGGGAGGCAGCAGUGGGGAAUAUUGGACAAUGGGCGCAAGCCUGAUCCAGCCGUACCGCGUGGGUGAAGAAGGCCUUCGGGUUGUAAAGCCCUUUUGUUGGGAAAGAAAAGCAGCAGGUUAAUACCCCGCUGUUCUGACGGUACCCAAAGAAUAAGCACCGGCUAACUUCGUG